rnacentral:snRNA from 1 species
GUACUCACAGAGGCAGCACAUAUACUAAAAAUUGAAGUGAUACAGACCUGAUUAGUAAGGCUCCUGUGGAAGGAUGAUACAAAACUUUGUCAAAUUUCUUCUGUAUCG